UCACAGCAAACACCAAAAGAUACAAAAAUCCAUAAGUGCAUCAGUUAACUCCAACACUUCAGUACACACCACAAAGUCACUCAAUAUGAGCCAAAACCACUCUGGCUGGCUACUUAGCCGUCGUCAAUAUAAAACAAUAUGAAAAAUGGCACAUGAAAGAUAAGAACCUGCCACACACACACACACACACACACACACACACACAGAAAGAGAAAAUACAAACGCCGGGGGACCGGUAACAAUUAGUCAAUCACAUUAACCCAGGACUCCCCGGCGAAUACAACACUUCAUAUACAAAUAAUUUAAGAACCAUAAGGGCAGAAAAUUGUCUGCUGGUCUUCUUACCCGCUACCGGACAUGAGGUACAGCGUUCGAGAAAACAACCGGCGGCCGCCGAACUUUAAUAAGGGAAACUCAAGAUUACAAACCAACCCUCCUAAUCGCUUUGCACGCAUCGCAGAAAAGACAUCCAACCCACGUCCCGGCACGGUAGCCUCGGCAAGGCGCUCAGCAACCCUCGCAUACAAAAUUCCCUCCUUAACAACAGCAGACCUCAUACCUUUAUUGAUCCCCUUAAGAAUACAGCACAGGUGUUUGUCUUUUUCCCUUAAUGAGACAAGGCAGAUACUACGGGCACUACCACUGUCGCCCCUCCCCUUGUCUAAAAUAAAGGGCUUACACAGUGCUUGAGUUGGGAUUAUACCAGCACGUUUCUGAACCGUCCCAGAAGCGACUCUCCAAUGCAUUUAUACAGCGAUCUGUCAUGCCAAAUCAAAGACUGUCAAAACGGCGUUUAUUAUUUGAAUUUCCUGAGAAAACAAACAAACAAACAAACAAAAAAACUGUAUUUGUUCGGUUACCGAAAUGGUUCGGUACAAAUACAUGUACCGUUACACCCUUAGUAAGUAGAUUAGUAAGUAGUAGAUAGUAAGUAGUAAGCUUUAUUAAACAAAUUGAUAUUAAUUUGUUUGUGUGUGUGUGCUUCCCCAUUAUGAUCCAGAAGUUUUGGGAAUGAAAAUCUUCUAAAACAUGAUCUUAAGAGGAAGUGAGUAUUAAUAAUUCAUGUCUAACAUUAAGACAUACUAACAUUAAUUUAUUUUUAAAGGAAUGUUCACAGUAUUUUUCUUCUAUGUUUUUAAUUUGUUUUAAUCCCAGAUAAAAAAGUGUCUUCUCACAAUCGUUUUAUUAUUAUUAUUAUUAUUAUUAUUAUUAUUUUAUUUUUUAUUUAUUUAUUCUAUUUUUUUUUUAUCUCCUUCUGAUUACUGGCAAUUUGGAGGAGGACUGCUCUUUAUCUGCUGUGUCUGUCACUUCUGGUACAGAGUCAUGGACCUU
ensembl:lncRNA